GGUCAAGUUAUUAAGGGUGCAGGGCGGAUGCCUUGGCACUAGGAGCCGAUGAAGGACGUGAUAAGCUGCGAUAAGCUUCGGGGAGUUGCACGUAAACUUUGAUCCGAAGAUUUCCGAAUGAGGAAACUCACUUAGAGUAAUGUCUAAGUAUCAUUAAGUGAAUACAUAGCUUAAUGAGGGGAACUCAGGGAACUGAAACAUCUAAGUACCUGAAGGAAGAGAAAGAAAUUCGAUUCCGUAAGUAGCGGCGAGCGAACGCGGAUUAG
rnacentral:rRNA from 1 species